GUAGGGAAUAUUGGGCAAUGGAAGGAAUUCUGACCCAGCCAUGCCGCGUGCAGGAAUACAGUCCUAUGGACUUUAAACUGCUUUUAUUAUAGAGUAACCUGGGGGACGUGUCCCCCACUGCAAGUAUAUAAUGAAUAAGCAUCGGCUAACUCCGUGCCAGCAGCCGCGGUAAUACGGGGGAUGCAAGCGUUAUCCGGAUUUAUUGGGUUUAAAGGGUGCGCAGGCUGAUCGGUAAGUCAUGGGCGAAAAGUCACUGCUUAACAGUGAUCGUGCCUAUGAUACUGCCGGACUAGAGUUUAAGAGGUGUAACUGGAAUGUGAUGUGUAGCGGUGAAAUGCUUAGAUAUGUCACAGAACGCCAAUCGUGAAGACAGGUUACAAACUUAAUACUGACGCUCAUGCACGAAAGCGUGGGGAUCAAACAGGAUUAGAUACCCGAGUAGUCC
rnacentral:rRNA from 1 species